rnacentral:rRNA from 1 species
AUUGAACGCUGGCGGCAUGCCUUACACAUGCAAGUCGAACGGCAGCACGGGAGCCAUCUUGGCGGCGAGUGGCGAACGGGUGAGUAAAGUAUCGGAAUCUGCCUAGUCGUGGGGGAUAACGUAGGGAAAGUCACGCUAAUACCGCAUACGACCUACGGAUGAAAGCGGGGGAUCGCCAGACCUCGCGCUAACCGAGGGGCCGAGAUCAGAUUAGGUAGUUGGUGGGGUAAAGGCGCACCAAGCGGACGAUCGGAAGCUGGUCGGAGAGGACGGACAGCCACACUGGGACUGAGACACAGCACAGACUCCUGCGGGAGGCAGCAGUGGGGAAUUUUGGACAAUGGGCCAAAGGCUGAUCCAGCCAUGCCGCGUGCAGGAUGAAGGCCUUCGGGUUGUAAACUGCUUUUGUACGGAACGAAAAGGUUUGGCCUAAUAAGCUGAGCUCAUGACGGUACCGUAAGAAUAAGCACCGGCUAACUACGUGCCAGCCGCCGCCGUAA